AGACCCUAAUCUGACUGCUUGAAAUCAGAGGUUUAUCUAUCAUUUUCAACACAGCAGAUAGGCAAUUUUCAAGUCAAGAAAAGUUGGCCAUAAGCCUGGCAGUUAAGUGGUUGAAGCCUGUGAUGCCCGGGAGCUUUAACAUCCAGUGAUGAAACCCUAAAGCUAAUAACUGAAUAGAAAUAACUAGUAGGGCAAAUCAUGUGGAUGGCUUGAGCAUUAGAGAGGGAUGGAGAUAUCUUAUUUGUGUAAUCAAGACUCAGUGGACAAACAUUUUUAAAGAAUAAAAAAGCCUUUUUCUUACUAAAGAGGAAAAAAGAAAAAGAAAAAG
rnacentral:misc_RNA from 1 species